rnacentral:rRNA from 1 species
UGGGGAAUUUUGGACAAUGGGCGCAAGCCUGAUCCAGCAAUGCCGCGUGCAGGAUGAAGGCCUUCGGGUUGUAAACUGCUUUUGUACGGAACGAAAAGCCUCUCUCUAAUACAGGGGGUGAUGACGGUACCGUAAGAAUAAGCACCGGCUAACUACGUGCCAGCAGCCGCGGUAAUACGUAGGGUGCAAGCGUUAAUCGGAAUUACUGGGCGUAAAGCGUGCGCAGGCGGUUUUGUAAGACAGUGGUGAAAUCCCCGGGCUCAACCUGGGAACUGCCAUUGUGACUGCAAGGCUGGAGUGCGGCAGAGGGGGAUGGAAUUCCGNGUGUAGCAGUGAAAUGCGUAGAUAUGCGGAGGAACACCGAUGGCGAAGGCAAUCCCCUGGGCCUGCACUGACGCUCAUGCACGAAAGCGUGGGGAGCAAAACAGGAUUAGAUACCCCUGGGUAGUCCACGCCCUAAAACGAUGUCAAACUGGUUGUUGGGGGAUUUAUUUCUUCAGUAACGAAGCUAACGCGUGAAGUUGACCGCCUGGGGGAGUACGGCCGCAAGGUUAAAAACUCAAAUGAAUUGACGGGGUC